rnacentral:misc_RNA from 1 species
GUAAUUUGUUGACUCAAUUUUUCAAUGGAAAAGCAAAUAUCAAUGAUCUAAAUCUUACAAUUAGUAACAAUGGAGAAGCCAAAGCCUCAGCAACAAAGGAUUUGUUAACCAACAUGGAAGAAUUAUCAACUAAGACAACAGAACAAGACCAGAAAUUAAUAGAUCAUGUUCCUAAAAGUGCAAUAAAUAAAGCCAGCGGCAGCAAAGAGAUACCACAUAAGGAGCAAAAGCUAGCCCAAUUAUCUAUAUUCUAUGGGGGUAAAGUGGUGGUUUUUGAUGAUUUUCCAGCAGAGAAAGCCAGAG